GGACACAGUGCUUUCCACUACAGUGUUAAAGACCAACUGGCCAGGUCUCCUGAGGGAAUCUGCUUUGUAACCAAGCAAUGGCAGAGGAGAUAGUGAUCCCUCUGCGCUUCGGACCCCUUGUAGUGGGGCAGGAAGCGGUGUGGAUGGCAAACAGGAAACCCCAGCCCCAUUGCACCACACGAGGAAGGAGACUUGAGCUGCGGGCUGGGGCCCUGCCAAGACCUAGAGAUGGCAAGAGAUGCCAGAUCAUGCUUCCCAAACCCAAGCCUGUCCUGGGCAUGGGCAAAAUGUGGGCUGCCUCGGAAGGAAAUGGCAUACUCUGCCUUCUGCCUUCCUGCUUUAUGGAACAGAAGCCCCAUCACUGCCUGGACUCCUUUAACCCCUACACCAACCUCAUUACGAAAGAAACUUUAUUAUCCUCAUUUUGCAGUUGAACAGUUGAGGCACAAAGAAGCUAUGCCACUUGCCCAAAGACACACAGCUAGAAGGGGCGGAGCUGAGGCUCAAAUCCAGGGCGGUGCAGGUGCCAAGCGGAACCCCUGUAGACUACAGCUUCUCUUGAGGUGAUAAGGAAGAAAGUGCUUUCAGCCAAAAAUCAGCCAACCCAACUGUAUUCUGGAGGAGAGGUUCUCCCACUUGAGUGUGUAUUGGAAUCUCUCCGAGGGCUCGUUAAAAUACAGAUUGCAGGUCCCUUUGCCCCAGUUUCUGAUUCAGUAAUUCUGGGGUGGGGUCUGAGAAGGUGCAGUUCUAAUAAGCGCCCAGGGCUGCUGCUGAUGCUGCUGGUGGUAGCAGGCUCUAGAUGCUUUAUCUUAGUCCCUCCAAGAACCUCAGGGGGAAGACUUCACUUUACAAAUGAGGAAACAGAAGGUCUCAGAGGUUAGGUGGCUUGUCCCAGGUGGCACAGCCGACAUGCAGCCCAGUGCUCCUGUGGCUCUCUGGCUGAGCGCUGGAUCUGAGAGGGCCACUAUGCGAGUAGCAGGUGCAGGCUGGCUCCAGCUACCAGCCCACAGCAGGCUGGGAGGUCUGGGGGAUGGGAGGCGAGUGAGUGACCAGCCCAGAGGACAAGCUGUGGGAAAAGCAGACCCUGCAGGGGCCAGGGAGAGAGGCCCAGAGCCGCAGGUCCAGGACGUGGGCACUUGCAGUCACAGAGCCACUGACUCUCAGUCCCUUAUCACACACUGGGUGGGACACUGAGGGGACAAUGAACUACCCCUCCCAUUCACAGGCCCCGCAGACCAUCCCCACCCCAUUCCCAGAAAAACCCCGAUGCUUGGUAACUGACAGGCACAGCCCCUUCCUGGCAAGCUACCGCACUCCCAUCCCCGGAGCUGCCCCUGCCUGGCCCACCGACACAGGAGGAACUGAAACACAGCAAGGGCCAUGCUGGGGUUUCUUCAAGCAUGUCAGCCUACGAAGCCGCCACUCUUCUGCCACCAACUGUGGCCCAGCCCGGCCCAGCCCUCCCUGCCCAAGCUGUCUGCACAGGCCUGGGUUCCCAGACGCGACUGUGGAAGAUGGGAGGAAGCGGUCCUGGGACUCCUGCCGGAAAGGCCUGCCUCCAGCUCCACCCCAGUGGGAGGGUGGCCAGGUCAGGUUCCAUGGUUCACACCUGUAAUCCCAGCAAUUUGGGAGGCCGAGACGGGAGGAUGGCUUGCAUGCAGGAGUUCAAGACCAGCUUGGGCAACAUGGCAAAACCUUGUCUCUAUAAAAAAUAAAAAAUUAGCUGAG